GACGAACGCUGGCGGCGUGCUUAACACAUGCAAGUCGAACGGGGCUUGCCCUUUGGGGUGGGUUUAGUGGCGAACGGGUGAGUAACACGUGGGUAAUCUGCCCUCAGCUCUGGGAUAACUCCGGGAAACCGGGGCUAGUACUGGAUAUGACUACUGGUGACAUCGCCUGGUGGUGGAAAGUAUUUUUUGGCUGAGGAUGGGCCCGCGGCCUAUCAGCUUGUUGGUGGGGUAAUGGCCUACCAAGGCUUCGACGGGUAGCCGGCCUGAGAGGGCGACCGGCCACACUGGGACUGAGACACGGCCCAGACUCCUACGGGAGGCAGCAGUGGGGGAAUAUUGCGCAAUGGGCGGAAGCCUGACGCAGCGACGCCGCGUGAGGGAUGACGGCCUC
rnacentral:rRNA from 1 species